ensembl:lncRNA
GUCUGAGAAGCUCAAGUAAAUAGCACAGCUGAGUAUUUUUGGCCUGCGCUGCUGAACGUUAUUCAUUAGGGACGUGAAGCUGUCAGAAUCUUCAUGCUAAAUGACAAGGCUGGGUUUGACAGGAACAAUGCAAACAUAAACACAUGAAGCAGCCAACAAAAAGGGUGUGUGUGUGCACGCGCGUGUGUUUCCUCAGUCACUUGUUGUGUUUGUGAUGCAAUUUAUUAAUUACAAUUAGCCAAACAUUUGGAUUUGUAACCUUCAGCACUCUCUUUAUCUAGCCCGAGCUGGAUUCUUCAGUCAACGGCGGUUCCUCUUCGGGUUCUCUGAGUCAGGAGGCAAGAGGCCAUGCAGAACUCACAGCACCGAGCCUGUCCUCAAGAUCACAGGCGAUGUGAGGGCUGCUAAUGACCUCGAAGUAAGAAGCGUCGAUGACGCGGUGCGUGAUGUGGCGAAGUCCCCGCUCUCCCAGACGAAGAUGGCCAACCCGGAGUUCCUUGCAUGCGUCCUCGAUCCAGCCACAAUUCCACCACCGAAUUCCCGACCACCACGUCCAUCAACC